CUACGGGGCGCUCCAGUGGGGAAUAUUGGACAAUGGGCGCAAGCCUGAUCCAGCAAUGCCGCGUGAGUGAAGACGGCCUUAGGGUUGUAAAACUCUUUCGCUAGGGAAGAUAAUGACUGUACCUAGUAAAGAAGUCCCGGCUAACUCCGUGCCAGCAGCCGCGGUAAUACGGAGGGGACUAGCGUUGUUCGGAAUUACUGGGCGUAAAGAGUUCGUAGGCGGACUGACAAGUUAGAGGUGAAAUCCCAGGGCUCAACCCUGGAACUGCCUUUAAAACUGUCAGUCUAGAGACCGGAAGAGGUUAGGGGAAUACCUAGUGUAGAGGUGAAAUUCGUAGAUAUUAGGUGGAACACCAGUGGCGAAGGUGCCUAACUGGUCCGGUACUGACGCCGAGGAACGAAAGCGUGGGGAGCAAACAGGAUUAGAUACCCGGGUAGUC
rnacentral:rRNA from 1 species